rnacentral:tRNA from 1 species
GGGCAUAUAGCUUAGUGGUAAAGCACUUGCUUAGCAUUCAUGAGGUCCUGGGUUUUGUCCCCAGUACCA